GUCAGGAUGGCCGAGUGGUCUAAGGCGCCAGACUCAAGGUGUAAAUCCUUCCAAGUUACAGGGGUAUUCUGGUCUCCGUUUGGAGGCGAGGGUUCAAAUCCCUCUUCUGACA